UACGGGGGGGGCAAGCGUUGUUCGGAAUUACUGGGCGUAAAGGGCUCGUAGGUGGCCAACUAAGUCAGACGUGAAAUCCCUCGGCUUAACCGGGGAACUGCGUCUGAUACUGGAUGGCUUGAGGUUGGGAGAGGGAUGCGGAAUUCCAGGUGUAGUGGUGGAAUGCGUAGAGAUCCGGAGGAACACCAGCGGCGAAGGCGGCAUCCUGGACUGGUCCUGACACUCAUGAGCGAAAGCGUGGGGAGCGAUCCGG
rnacentral:rRNA from 1 species